rnacentral:tRNA from 1 species
GUCCCUGUAGCUUAAAUCAAAGCAUGGCACUGAAGAUGCCAAGAUGGAACACCACCCCAGAGAC